GGCACUACAAGUGACAUGCCAACGGGCAGCCUCUCAACUCAGGAGAUACAGUGUGGAAGAUCUUAUUGAAACCACCUUUGCAAAAAUUAUAACUGAGAAAACUAUGACAAUGAAAGAGAUCUACCUGAUUCCAUCUUGCUUCUAACCUCUACGCUCUCCUAAUUUAUACCUGGGUUUAGGCAGAACUAUUUUUUGGAGGAACUUAGUUUAUAGUUUAACUUUGGAACAAAGAUGAUCACAGCCUCAUCCCAAAACAAACUCCCUUCCUGCCUGGAGGCUAGAUUGCCUGUGGGACUAACAAAUUAGCUACAAGAUUAGAGAUUAUGAUUUAGGAGUCAUGCAUCUGGAGGCUACAAGAUGCUGAACCUCCCCAAAUUGCUUCUGGGGAUAACAUUACUUUUGUAAAACCUGAGAUCAGUGCUUGAGAUAUUUUACAGACACUGUACUUGAUGGCUUAUUUGGUCUUGUGGCCCCCACCCAGGAAUUGACUCAGUGCAAGAGGACAGCUGGGACUCCCAAUGAUUUCAUCUCUCACCGCACCAGUCAGCACUCCCCACUGUCCAACCCCUGCCACCAAAUUAUCCUUGAAAACCUCGAUCCCCAGGUUUUCAGGGAGACUGAUUUACGUAAUAAUAAAACUCUGGUCUCCUGCACAGCCGGCUCUGUAUGAAUUAAACUCUUUAUUACAAUUCCCCUGUCUUGAUAAAUCGGCUCUGUCUAGGCAGAGGGCAAGGAAAACCCCUUGGGCAGUUACAUUAUCUCUUUUCUUCUUAGAACAUAAGUCUUUCUCCAUUGUAUUGAAAGGUCAUUAAGAGUCUGUUCAAAUAACUCAUAUGUGAAAUAUGACAAGAAUUCCAUACUAAUAUAAUGUUAUCCAGUAAUAUUUACAGCAAAGUUACUAUUUAUGCAGUGUUUUGC
rnacentral:lncRNA from 1 species